rnacentral:rRNA from 1 species
CCUACGGGAGGCAGCAGUAGGGAAUCUUCCACAAUGGGCGAUAGCCUGAUGGAGCAACGCCGCGUGGGUGAAGAAGGACUUCGGAUCGUAAAACCCUGUUGUUAGAGAAGAAAGUGCGUGAGAGUAACUGUUCACGUUUCGACGGUAUCUAACCAGAAAGCCACGGCUAACUACGUGCCAGCAGCCGCGGUAAUACGUAGGUGGCAAGCGUUAUCCGGAUUGAUUGGGCGUAAAGGGAACGCAGGCGGUCUUUUAAGUCUGAUGUGAAAGCCUUCGGCUUAACCGGAGUAGUGCAUUGGAUACUGGGAGACUUGAGUGCAGAAGAGGAGAGUGGAACUCCAUGUGUAGCGGUGAAAUGCGUAGAUAUAUGGAAGAACACCAGUGGCGAAAGCGGCUCUCUGGUCUGUAACUGACGCUGAGGUUCGAAAGCGUGGGUAGCAAACAGGAUUGGAUACCCCUGUAGUC